rnacentral:lncRNA from 1 species
AUGAAUCAAGCGGCAGCUCUUAAGAGAAAGUCCCAAAUCCAAAUAAAGCUGAAAGUCCAAUGAAGAAUAUAGGUUUUGAUUUCCAACACCAAUCAAGUACUGAACUAGCCAAAAAAUUUCAGAUUAAGAGAGAAAAGCUUUCAAGUGAUCGCAAUGAUAAAGCUGCUAAAGAGCAUGCAUUACUUGGAGUUAAAAGGAAGAAUUGUGUGCCUGCAACAUUGGAAGGACAAAAUAGACAGAAGUUAACUCAAUCUGAUGUGUCAGUUCAAAAGUUAGGAAGGAAUAGUAUUGCAAGUAAAGGACAAUUUAAACAAAGGUCAAUUCAAUUAGAGGAUCCCAUUCAAAAGCAAGAAACGAGUAAAUUACAUGUGCCCACAUCCACGAUCCAAUCAUCUGCAAAGGUAGAUCCUAAAAAUUUACAUAUGCCUAAAAGAUCACAAGGUGAAGGAGAGAAACACCAUGAUAUUCAGGAGCUACAAAAUUGCAAAGUGGUAAAGACAAACUCAGCCCUACCGUCUACGAGCGUUAUUCAAUUUCUAAAAAAAUAUGGGAUACAAGUCGAUGGUGAAAAACAUCCUGAUAAUCACCCAGAAAACGAAGUCAGAUUUUUGUCCUCUUCUAUUAUUGAUGAGCGUGAAAUAGAAUUGGAUAAUUUUGAUGCACAAGAUGAAGUUGGUGACGAUGAAUUUAUUGGAGAUGGAAGAUGAACAUCGAUGGUGCUGCAGGUGGUAUGUCUUAAACCUUAUAAUUAUUCUACAUAUUUUGAUUUUUUUCUUCUUACUUCUUUCUUGUUAUAUCAAUCUAGGGACAUCAUAGAAGAAAAGAGUUCGAGGGAAAACAACAUGUAAAAAAAUUCAUGCUUCUUGUGUCUUGCUUGUUAUUCAAUCUAGGGACAUCAGAGAAGAAAAGAGUUCGAGGGAAAACAACAUGUAAGAAUAUUAAUGCAAGAAGUUUUGAAGAAAGAGAUGAGGUGACAUUUGAUAAAGGACAAGCAGUUGGAACAACUGACAAGAGAGUGUUUAACUUGACCAACUUUUAAGGAACGAUUGCAAGGUAUCCAGGAUGUAUCCCCUUGGUGCAUACCAGUUGGAAUGCCAUGUCAAAGGAUAUUAAGCAACGAAUGUGGGAAUAUGUCAAU